GAUGAACGCUGGCGGCGUGCUUAACACAUGCAAGUCGAACGAUGAAGCCCAGCUUGCUGGGUGGAUUAGUGGCGAACGGGUGAGUAACACGUGAGUAACCUGCCCUUAACUCUGGGAUAAGCCUGGGAAACUGGGUCUAAUACCGGAUAGGAGCGCCUACCGCAUGGUGGGUGUUGGAAAGAUUUAUCGGUUUUGGAUGGACUCGCGGCCUAUCAGCUUGUUGGCGAGGUAAUGGCUCACCAAGGCGACGACGGGUAGCCGGCCUGAGAGGGUGACCGGCCACACUGGGACUGAGACACGGCCCAGACUCCUACGGGAGGCAGCAGUGGGGAAUAUUGCACAAUGGGCGAAAGCCUGAUGCAGCGACGCCGCGUGAGGGAUGACGGCCUUCGGGUUGUAAACCUCUUUCAGUAGGGAAGAAGCGAAAGUGACGGUACCUGCAGAAGAAGCACCGGCUAACUACGUG
rnacentral:rRNA from 1 species